UACGUAGGGGGCAAGCGUUGUCCGGAAUCAUUGGGCGUAAAGCGCGUGUAGGCGGCCAGAUAAGUCCGCUGUGAAAACUCGAGGCUCAACUUCGAGCUGUCGGUGGAAACUAUCUGGCUAGAGUCCGGAAGAGGAGAGUGGAAUUCCUGGUGUAGCGGUGAAAUGCGCAGAUAUCAGGAAGAACACCCGUGGCGAAGGCGGCUCUCUGGGGACGGUACUGACGCUGAGACGCGAAAGCGUGGGGAGCAAACAGG
rnacentral:rRNA from 1 species